rnacentral:rRNA from 1 species
AACCCAAAGGUGUGACGCAUACCGAACUAAAGUAGGGAAAUGUGUGAGCCGGCUGCCGAGAAAAGCCGCUAUUGUUUGUACUGUACCCGUACCGUAAACCGACACAGGUGGAUGAGGAGAGAAUCCUAAGGCCGACGGAAGAAGCAUUGCUAAGGAACUCGGCAAAAUGACCCUGUAACUUCGGGAAAAAGGGUGCCUCGAAAGAGGCCGCAGAGAAUAGGCCCAAGCAACUGUUUAGCAAAAACACAGGUCUAUGCAAAACCGCAAGGUGAAGUAUAUGGACUGACGCCUGCCCGGUGCUGGAAGGUUAAGGGGAGAUGUCAGGAGACGAAGCAUCGAACUUAAGCCCCAGUAAACGGCGGCCGUAACAAUAACGGUCCUAAGGUAGCGAAAUUCCUUGUCGGGUAAGUUCCGACCCGCACGAAAGGCGUAAUGAUUUGGGCGCUGUCUCGGCAAUGCAUCCGGUGAAAUUGAAGUGCCAGUGAAGAUGCUGGCUACCCGCGCCAGGACGGAAAGACCCCAUGGAGCUUUACUCCAGCUUGAUACUGGGAUUCGGUAUUGUAUGUACAGGAUAGGUGGGAGGCUGAGAAAUGGUGACGCCAGUCGCCAUGGAGCCGCUGUUGGGAUACCACCCUUGCAGUACUGGAUUUCUAACCAGCAGCCGUUAACCGGCUGGGGGACAAUGUCAGGUGGGGAGUUUGACUGGGGCGGUCGCCUCCGAAAGGGUAUCGGAGGCGCUCAAAGGUUCCCUCAGAAUGGUCGGAAACCAUUCGAAGAGUGCAAAGGCAGAAGGGAGCUUGACUGCGACACCGACGGGUGGGGCAGGUACGAAAGUAGGACUUAGUGAUCCGGUGGUAUUAAGUGGGAAUGCCAUCGCUCAACGGAUAAAAGCUACCCUGGGGAUAACAGGCUUAUCACUCCCAAGAGUUCACAUCGACGGAGUGGUUUGGCACCUUGAUGUCGGCUCAUCGCAUCCUGGGGCUGUAGUAGGUCCCAAGGGUUGGGCUGUUCGCCCAUUAAAGCGGUACGCGAGCUGGGUUCAGAACGUCGUGAGACAGUUCGGUCCCUAUCCGGCGUGGGCGUAGGAUAUUUGAGAGGAACUGACCUUAGUACGAGAGGACCGGGUUGGACUGACCUCUGGUGCACCGGUUGUCAUGCCAAUGGCACAGCCGGGUAGCUAAGUCGGGAAGGGAUAAACGCUGAAGGCAUCUAAGCGUGAAGCCCCCCUCAAGAUGAGAUAUCCCCCGCAUAAGCGGUAAGACCCCUUGAAGACGACGAGGUAGAUAGGGCAGAGGUGGAAGUGCAGUAAUGUAUGGAGCUGACUGCUACUAA